AUAAGUAAUGUGAAUUGCAGAAUUCAGUGAAUCAUCGAAUCUUUGAACGCACCUUGCGCUCCUUGGUAUUCCGAGGAGCAUGCCUGUUUGAGUGUCGU
rnacentral:rRNA from 1 species